rnacentral:lncRNA from 1 species
ACCAUUGUCAACAUCAUGUAGCUCAAUUGCUUUCUGGUUCCAAUAGAGCCAUUUCUUGCUCACAGUCUUUGGAAAGCGUUGUAGCAAUAAAGAAACCAUCACAAAUACUUAACUGAAAAUUACAAUCCUAUAAAUUUUUCUACUAUUUUCAACAUAAAAAUACCCGAACAUUUUUCUUUACUCUAUAUCCAUAACUGACUACUCUUUCCCAGUUAUACUCCUCUUUUUUUCUUCCUCGUCGUCGUUGUCAUCCUCUUCGAAUUCGCUGUUCUGGAUGUCCAAGUUAGGAUCAUCGAAUGACUAUAUUACUUUUCACAAAUCUUAUUCAUCUCUUCGAUCUCUCCAUCCGAUAACUCUUCAGAUCAGCAAUUCAUUAUCAAAC